GGGGAUGUAGCUCAAUUGGUAGAGCAUUAAUCCAUGCAUGUUUAAAGGCACAGGGUUCAAUUCCUUGCAUCUCCA
rnacentral:tRNA from 1 species